UACGAAGGGGGCUAGCGUUGCUCGGAAUCACUGGGCGUAAAGGGUGCGUAGGCGGGGCUUUAAGUCAGGGGUGAAAUCCUGGAGCUCAACUCCAGAACUGCCUUUGAUACUGAAGAUCUUGAGUUCGGGAGAGGUGAGUGGAACUGCGAGUGUAGAGGUGAAAUUCGUAGAUAUUCGGAAGAACACCAGUGGCGAAGGCGGCUCACUGGCCCGGUACUGACGCUGAUGUGCGAAAGCGUGGGGAGCAAACAGG
rnacentral:rRNA from 1 species